rnacentral:rRNA from 1 species
CAAUAGCGUAUAUUUAAGUUGUUGCAGUUAAAAAGCUCGUAGUUGGAUUUCGGUUAAGAGCGACCGGUCCGCCGUUUGGUGUGCACUGGUUGGUUUUAACUUCCUGUAGAGGACGUGCUCUGGGUUUAACGACCUGGACUCGGAGUCUACGUGGUUACUUUGAAAAAAUUAGAGUGUUCAAAGCGGGCCUACGCUUGAAUAUUUCAGCAUGGAAUAACACUAUAGGACUCCUGUCCUAUUUCGUUGGUCUCGGGACGGGAGUAAUGAUUAAGAGGAACAGUUGGGGGCAUUCGUAUUUCAUUGUCAGAGGUGAAAUUCUUGGAUUUAUGAAAGACGAACUUCUGCGAAAGCAUUUGCCAAGGAUGUUUUCAUUAA